GUCAGGUUUUGACCCAAUUAUCGUUUUAAUGGCACCUUAAAGGAUUAGUGUCAGGGUCAUGUAUUGCGGGCUAUUGUUAUUGUUUACAUAUUACUUAAAUACAACAAAUAGCGAUAAAAAUAUCACACAAAAAGAGCAAGUAUUAUAAAAGGGUGGUUUAAAUAUAUGACAAAUUGUAAAAAACUUCCCAGAUCAUCAAUCUAUUCGUCCCGAAAAAUGGCCGCCAGCAGGAGUUUGAGCCCGCGAAUUCCCGGUGUGACAUUAAUCCUUUAAAAGUAAUCUGUGAUCAGGCCUAUAAAUAAAUAAAUAGGCCUGA